UGACUGAACACAUUUUGAUCUACUGCACAGUUAUAUCAACCUGAAUUCAAAAUGUAACUUUCAAUAUACUAAAGUCUGACUCACAGUAAAAAAAAGGUUGCUAAUCACUGUUCUAAACUAUAAGAAAUCUCAUAACAUCAUAGAUACAAAAUUUUCAUUUAAUGCAGAAAUAAAAAUAUAAACAACAUUUUUGUCUCAUUCUGACCCACUCUCCCCUACUACAGUUUUGGCUGGGGUUUCUCUAUCGCUCAGAAAAACGUCAGCAAAUAGUGUAUGGCCAGUCUGCCGGAUGGGCCGCGUGGAAACGCCUCGGUCCUCCACCCUGGAAGCCGGGUUCGAGUCUCGGAUCCCACCCCUUGAAAAUAUUUAUUAUGGAGUCCUGGUCCGGCCCAUCGAUCCCGUCCUCCACCCUCCGACCGACCCUUCCACCGGGGUGAGCAGCCGGUGGAAGGAUGGUUUCGCCCGUCACUUACUGAGAGGAAAGUGGCGUCACUUUUUGUUGACUAAAAAAAUACCGUAUGGCCGUAUUCCGUUUACUACCUCAAGCAUUUAAUUAAUUAGUUUGGGUUGGCCAUCCGGCAGCCCAAU
rnacentral:lncRNA from 1 species